UAUGAGGACAGAUUUGGCUGCUUGCAACCUCACACAAAAAAUGCUAAAAAAC
rnacentral:ncRNA from 1 species